UUCUUUUACCAAUUUAAGAAAAUAGUUUGUACACGAUCUAAAAUGUGUUAUUGUUUUCGCAAUUAUACAGAAAGAAACAGCAAUUGUUUUCCACUAAGCCCAAUUAAAUUAGAAAAAUAUUGGAUAGUGAAUUUAGAACAAUUUUUUUAUUUUUGAAUGAGAACUGAUUUAAGUCCGGUUCUUAUUGAUAUGUGUCUGCUUAUUGUUCGAUGAUGUUUUAAUACUUAAAAAAAAAAUUAUAUCGACUCAUUUAUUUUCUUUUUUCUCUAUCUUUCUCGAUAAUAUCUCUGUGAGAUCGACCAUCAGAACGACAAUCGGAGGAGAUGGAUGGGUAUCUGAGGUGAUCGGACGUUUUAACAUAAUCUCCACCGUCGCCGAGUUACAACGUCGACUGUGGUCAGCGAAUCGGCCAGUCGAUUCAUGGAAAACGAUGAGUCUCCUUCACCAAAUCGAAGUUUAUACAAUUGUCUUUGUCAUGUUUACUGGUUUGCCAGGUUAGUGUUUAAUGAAGAUCUGAGACAAAAGACCUCAAGAAGACCUCAAGAAGAGACAAAAGAAGCUGAAACCAUCGCUUCUUAGUAGUAGUGUGAGAGCUAACUUUGAGUUCUUGAAGAAACUUGGUGUUGAUUGGUGGUGUUUCCAUGACAUAGAUAUAGCACCUGAUGGCAGUACACUUGAGGUAAUAACUCCAGCUUCUUACAUUGUGCGAUUGUCAAGCAGCAUGUUAUCGUAAUCAAAUAGCCAUCAAGUUCUUGAAAUUCUUCUGGUUCUGUCUGGCGAUUAUGGUCUUGCGGAUCUCUCUAACAAAAACUUGGAGUUACGCUGCUGCUCAAGUGAAGAAGGCAAUGGAGGUGACACAUUACUUGGGCGGUGAAAACUACGUUUUCUGCUACUCAGGAAGCUGCGUCUCACUUAGAAGCGUUGGGUUGUGUAUUGACAGAGGUUUCUCUUUUUCAAAUUUCUUUGUCUCUGUUUUUCAUUUUGUAUGUUUUUUAUUGUGUCCUGAGAUUUCAGUUGGUAAAUUAAUAGGUCUCUCUUCCUUCGUUCUCCCUUGGACUAGCAGCUUAUGUAACUUCAAUAUUCAUGUAUCAAAUGUACAAUAAAAAUUGAUUAUUAUA